UACGGGGGGGGGUAAGCGUUGUUCGGAAUUACUGGGCGUAAAGGGCUCGUAGGCGGCCAACUAAGUCGGACGUGAAAUCCCUCAGCUUAACUGGGGAACUGCGUCCGAUACUGGAUGGCUUGGAUUUGGGAGAGGGAUGCGGAAUUCCAGGUGUAGCGGUGAAAUGCGCAGAUAUCAGGAGGAACACCAAUGGCGAAGGCAGCUCGCUGGAACGGUACUGACGCUGAGGCGCGAAAGCGUGGGAGCGAACAGG
rnacentral:rRNA from 1 species